UCCCUGGUGGCUCAGCAGUAAAGAAUCCGCCUGUAAUGCAGAAGACUCAGGUUCGAUCCCUGAGUCGGGAA
rnacentral:tRNA from 1 species